CCCCGGAUUUCAAUCACCCCUAAGACUAGAAAAAAUCAUAGCCAAGGUUUUUGGUAUAUGUGGAGCGAGAGCACGUGCUUGUUGACCCAACCUUUCAUCAUUGCGGUGUAGAUAGCCAGCAUAAACAUUAUUGAGUGCAUCCCUGAGUUGAAGUACUCGAUCUUUGGCCUCAUUCAUAUUGUCAUAACAGUUCUGUAACCA
rnacentral:lncRNA from 1 species